rnacentral:ncRNA from 2 species
AGUUGAGGUAGAGGCGCGACAGACCAAGAGUACCCUUGUAGAGGCGCGAGAGGCCGAAGAUGCAUGGGGAAAGGGGUCGUCGCCGAAGUGCAAUCCGAUUCUCGUAGGAUUGUGCUGGGCCUAUAUCGAACAGGUAUAGGACUGUCACCAAAAAACUUCCCCGGUUUUUUGGUGAAGCGCUACUUCAUUC